rnacentral:rRNA from 1 species
AGCAGCCGCCGCGGUAAUGCGUAGGUGGCAAGCGUUGUCCGGAAUUAUUGGGCGUAAAGGGCUCGCAGGCGGUUUCUUAAGUCUGAUGUGAAAGCCCCCGGCUCAACCGGGGAGGGUCACUGGAAACUGGGAAACUUGAGUGCAGAAGAGGAGAGUGGAAUUCCACGUGUAGCGGUGAAAUGCGUAGAGAUGUGGAGGAACACCAGUGGCGAAGGCGACUCUCUGGUCUGUAACUGACGCUGAGGAGCGAAAGCGUGGGGAGCGAACAGGAUUAGAUACCCCAGUAGUCCCUGUCUCUUAUAC